rnacentral:rRNA from 1 species
GAAAUAGUUUGAGCUAAAUAUUUUGCAAUGUUGGUUGCUUUAGGUGGUGUUGCAUAAUCACUUUGAUAACUAUGUUUAGGGGUGAUAGGCCUUUCAAAAACUAUGAUAUCUUGAACCUAAUGAAAAGUAUGUAGUACAUUAAUUCAUUUAUUGAGUGAUUAGGCUUAAUAACUCUAUUAAUUUAUAUAGUAUAUUGGUAUUAUGAUGUAAUAACUAAAUAUGUACAUAUGCUAAUAUUCCUUCAUUGUAGUUUAUAAGGUGUAGUUAGGUGAAGGUAAGCUUAUAUCUCUGUUAAUAAUGUUUAUAUUAGUACUUAUUAUAUCAUAAUUUAAUGAACUCGGCAACUUGCUCCUCAACUGUUUAUCAAAAACAUAGCUGCGUGUAUUAAUACGUAGUGGUUUCUGCUCAAUGAUUUAAAUAGCCGCAGUAUUCUGACUGUGCAAAGGUAGCAUAAUCAAUUGGCUUAUAAUUGAAGUCUGGAAUGAACGAAAGUAUGGGUAGCUACUAUAUCAAAUUGUUAUGUGGAACUUAUUUAUGAAGUGAAAAUCCUUCUAGCUAAAUAAAAGACGAGAAGACCCUAGAAAAUUUAAGUAAUUGAGGUAUACCUCGGCAUUUUUUUGUUGGGGCGACAGAGCAGCACAUAUAUAUACAACCUACUCUAACUACUAGCAACUAUUUUGGCGAUAGAAUAAUUUACUCUAGGGAUAACAGCAUAAUAUUUUAAAGUUUGUGACCUCGAUGUUGGACUAGGAAACGAUAACUUAAAAGGUUCUUCGUAGUGCUCUGUUCGAGCAUAUACUCCUACAUGAUC